UUAUCGGAGAGUUUGAUCCUGGCUCAGGACGAACGCUGGCGGCGUGCCUAAUACAUGCACAGCUAACCG
rnacentral:rRNA from 1 species